AAUCCGCCCGCGAAGCUCCCUUCUCCCGUCUUUCCGUCGUUAACAACGAGAAUUCUGGUCCAGAGAGGGUCACCAUUGGCGAUCAAACCGAAGCUUCCCUCUAAUUUCUUCAUCCGGAGUUUCAAUUUCGUCAUAAAUUUCCUCGCUAUACAUGUUAUACGGAAUCCAUGGAUUCUCUAGCUUCGAAGGUGGCCAUGUCAUCGGCUAAUUUGGCCGGAAUUUCUUCGCCAAGAUUGUUUGACGUGAAUAGUUGGAUCUGCCGUGGGUUUUGGUGCAAAGGAAGAGGAGACACGGUGAAGAAGUUGCGAGCAGUCUCUUCGAACGGUUAUGUUUGUCACUCGGCCUCUGAUGGGGCUGAUUUGAGGGCAGUGGGAGACUCUCACAUGCGAAGGAGCAGUCUUGAGUCUCUCUUCUGCUAUGACAAGCCUAUCCCGGAAGAGAGAAUCGAGAAGCCAGUCGGUCUUUCUUUAUCAGCAAAAGCUAUUGGAGAUAACCCCAGAUGCAAUGAUUGCGAAGCUAAAGGGGCUGUCCUUUGCGCUACCUGCUCUGGCUCUGGCUUGUACGUCGACUCAAUAUUGGAGAGCCAGGGGAUUAUUGUCAAAGUCCGUUGCCUAGGUUGUGGUGGAAGUGGCAACAUUAUGUGUUCAGAAUGUGGCGGCCGAGGUCAUCUCGGAGAUAAAUAAACUUGGCCUGAUUUGUCUCUCGGGUUUCCACUUGUAGCAUUAUGUGAUUUCUGUUGUUGAAAUCAAGGUAAAACUUAAAGGUUGUGGUGGAAAUGGCAUAAUUAUGUGUUCAGAAUGUGGAGGCCGGUGUCAUCUUGGAGAUAAAUAGACUUCUUGGCCCCGUUUGUACCAAUUCGGUAUUCAUAUGUCGCAUUAUGUAAUUUCUGUUGUUCAAAUCAUGGUAAAAGUAAGACUGGUUGUAUUGCUAGCAGUAAUAGCCUAUUUUGAUUCCACA